GGUCCCGCCUGCCCUGUGACUCCUAGUUCAACGGCCGCGGUAUUUUGACCGUGCAAAGGUAGCGCAAUCACUUGUCUUCUAAAUGGGGACCUGUAUGAAUGGCAUAACGAGGGCUUAACUGUCUCCUUCCCCCGGUCAAUGAAAUUGAUCUUCCCGUGCAGAAGCGGGAAUCCUAACAUAAGACGAGAAGACCCUAUGGAGCUUUAGACUUCAGAACAGAUCAUGUAAGCUACCCCGUGAAAUAAGUAGUAGUUAUUGAACUCCUGUUCCCCUGUCUUCGGUUGGGGCGACCACGGGGAAUAAAAAAACCCCCAUGUGGACCAGGAGCACACGCUCCUACAACCAUGAGCCACAGCUCUAAUGCACAAAACAUUUGACCAUUAGAUCCGGCAAAGCCGAUCAACGGACCAAGUUACCCUAGGGAUAACAGCGCAAUCCCCUUUAAGAGUUCAUAUCGACAAGGGGGUUUACGACCUCGAUGUUGGAUCAAGACAUCCUAAUGGUGCAACCGCUAUUAAGGGUUCGUUUGUUCAACGAUUAAAGUCUU
rnacentral:rRNA from 1 species